rnacentral:rRNA from 1 species
ACGCUAGCGACAGGCUUAACACAUGCAAGUCGAGGGGCAGCACGGUGUAGCAAUACAUUGGUGGCGACCGGCGCACGGGUGAGUAACGCGUAUGCAACCUACCUAUCAGAGGGGAAUAACCCGGCGAAAGUCGGACUAAUACCGCAUAAAACAGGGGUUCCACAUGGAAAUAUUUGUUAAAGAUUUAUCGCUGAUAGAUGGGCAUGCGUUCCAUUAGAUAGUUGGUGAGGUAACGGCUCACCAAGUCCACGAUGGAUAGGGGUUCUGAGAGGAAGGUCCCCCACACUGGUACUGAGACACGGACCAGACUCCUACGGGAGGCAGCAGUGAGGAAUAUUGGUCAAUGGGCGAGAGCCUGAACCAGCCAAGUCGCGUGAAGGAUGAAGGAUCUAUGGUUUGUAAACUUCUUUUAUAUGGGAAUAAAGUGAGGGACGUGUUCCUUUUUGUAUGUACCAUAUGAAUAAGCAUCGGCUAACUCCGUGCCAGCAGCCGCGGUAAUACGGAGGAUGCGAGCGUUAUCCGGAUUUAUUGGGUUUAAAGGGUGCGUAGGUGGUUUUUUAAGUCAGCGGUGAAAGUUUGUGGCUCAACCAUAAAAUUGCCGUUGAAACUGGGGAACUUGAGUAUAUUUGAGGUAGGCGGAAUGCGUGGUGUAGCGGUGAAAUGCAUAGAUAUCACGCAGAACUCCGAUUGCGAAGGCAGCUUACUAAACUAUAACUGACACUGAAGCACGAAAGCGUGGGGAUCAAACAGGAUUAGAUACCCUGGUAGUCCACGCAGUAAACGAUGAUUACUAGCUGUUUGCGAUACACAGUAAGCGGCACAGCGAAAGCGUUAAGUAACCCACCUGGGGAGUACGCCGGCAACGGUGAAACUCAAAGGAAUUGACGGGGGCCCGCACAAGCGGAGGAACAUGUGGUUUAAUUCGAUGAUACGCGAGGAACCUUACCCGGGUUUGAACGCAUUCGGACCGACUGUGAAAGCAGUCUUUCAGCAAUGACCGUUUGCGAGGUGCUGCAUGGUUGUCGUCAGCUCGUGCCGUGAGGUGUCGGCUUAAGUGCCAUAACGAGCGCAACCCUUAUCACUAGUUACUAACAGGUCAUGCUGAGGACUCUAGUGAGACUGCCAGCGUAAGCUGUGAGGAAGGUGGGGAUGACGUCAAAUCAGCACGGCCCUUACAUCCGGGGCGACACACGUGUUACAAUGGUGGGGACAAAGGGCAGCUACACAGCGAUGUGAUGCUAAUCUCCAAACCCCAUCUCAGUUCGGAUCGAAGUCUGCAGCCCGACUUCGUGAAGCUGGAUUCGCUAGUAAUCGCGCAUCAGCCAUGGCGCGGUGAAUACGUUCCCGGGCCUUGUACACACCGCCCGUCAAGCCAUGGGAGUUGGGGGUACCUAAAGUCCGUAACCGUAAGGAUCGGCCUAGGGUAAAACCGAUGACUGGGGC